AUUGAACGCUGGCGGCAUGCCUAACACAUGCAAGUCGAACGGGGCAGCAAUGCCUAGUGGCGGACGGGUGAGGAAUGCGUAGGAAUCUGCCCUUAAGUGGGGGAUAACCAGGGGAAACCCUGACUAACACCGCAUGAUCUCUUCGGAGCAAAGAGGGGGACCGCAAGGCCUCACGCUAUCGGAUGAGCCGAGGUCGGAUUAGCUAGUUGGUGGGGUAAAGGCUCACCAAGGCGACGAUCCGUAACUGGUCUGAGAGGAUGAUCAGUCACACUGGAACUGAGACACGGUCCAGACUCCUACGGGAGGCAGCAGUGGGGAAUAUUGGACAAUGGGCGAAAGCCUGAUCCAGCCAUGCCGCGUGUGUGAAGAAGGUCUUCGGAUUGUAAAGCACUUUAAGUUGGGAGGAAGGGCAGUCAGCUAAUACCUGGUUGUUUUGACGUUACCAACAGAAUAAGCACCGGCUAACUUCGUGCCAGCAGCCGCCGUAACAC
rnacentral:rRNA from 1 species